UGAUCGGCCACGUUCGUCAGCCGGGCCCCACGCAAAAAGGCAGCGGGGCCGCGCGCGAGCCGACUCGACACAAAACGAAUUUCUUAUUGAUAUUUUCGGCGAAGCAAAAAAAAAAAACGUAAAGUAAACCAGAAAAAUAAAAAAAUUCAAAGAAAAGAAACGAACGAAUCGCGGCCGGUUAGGCGUGAAGCGCGUUUCAACGGCAAUCCAAGAAGAAACGACUGUCCUCUUUACUCUCCGCCCCGAGGAAACGAUAAAAGUUCGACGACGUGGUUCGACCGACGAAGGAACGAUCGAAACAUCCGCGCUACAACCACCGACAGUGACCAUCUGAGCGAUUUUUCGUUGACCAGUGACUGUGAGGGAACGAGCAGUUUUGUUUUGUGAACAACGUUUACGCACGUCCUCGAACUCGUCCUGGAAUCGACACGAUUGCACAGAUUAACGAAUGACGUCGUAAAAGAGAGCUGGUUGAUGCGCAGACACCGGGACACAAAAGGGGACAGCAUCUUUCACAUCGCCACGGCAACGUUCAUCACGAAUAAGAAGAAUCGCGGCAAGGAAAAUCGAGACGAGGGAGCGAGGGGCACCUAGCCCUUUGGCGAGCUCGAAGGAUGCAGCUCCCAGGCGGGAGCACGAGGAUUCCGCCCGCGAGAGCACCGGUUUCACUUCUCGUGAUCAUCAACGGAAGUAAUAUCGCAUCGACUGUCGUGAAGAAACGCAGCAACGGUAGAAACUGUAGCGGAAGCGGUGGAGCCGGUUCAAAUAGUCAUCGUGGCAAGAACGGUGGGGAAAACGUAAGGAAAAGCGAUAGCAGUGGAAACGGUCCCGAGAUCGAGCCGCGUCUCGUGAAAAGAAAUCGUCAUCCCGAGACGAGGACGAACAGCCGACACCGAGUCACCGAGAAGCCCCAGCUGUUGGCGUCAGCUCCAAGGCGGAAGGAGCGGGGCGAAGAAUAGUGAAAAGAAGCUAGAGAAAAAGCAAGGAACGACGGAAGAAGAGGAAGAGGAGGCGCGAGAGAAGGAGAAGAAGGUGAAGAAGAGAAAGCAAGAGUUCGUCGGGAAGGAGACGGGUGCCGACGUCGUCGUCGUCGGCGGCGGCGGCGGAGGAGAAAGAGGCGGAAGAAGAGGAGGAAGAGGAGAA